CCUACGGGAGGCAGCAGUGAGGAAUAUUGGACAAUGGACGAAAGUCUGAUCCAGCCAUGCCGCGUGCAGGAUGACGGCCCUAUGGGUUGUAAACUGCUUUUAUACAGGAAGAAACCCUCCCACGUGUGGGGGGYUGACGGUACUGUACGAAUAAGGAUCGGCUAACUCCGUGCCAGCAGCCGCGGUAAUACGGAGGAUCCAAGCGUUAUCCGGAAUUAUUGGGUUUAAAGGGUCCGCAGGCGGWCUAUUAAGUCAGAGGUGAAAUCCUGCAGCUCAACUGUAGAACUGCCUUUGAUACUGGUAGUCUUGAGUUCUUGUGAAGUGGUURGAAUGUGUCGUGUAGCGGUGAAAUGCAUAGAUAUCACACAGAACACCRAUUGCGAAGGCAGAUCACUAACAAUGUACUGACGCUCAUGGACGAAAGCGUGGGGAGCGAACAGGAUUAGAUACCCUGGUAGUCCACGCCGUAAACGAUGGAUACUCRCUGUUCGACCUUYACGGUGAGUGGCUAAGCGAAAGUGAUAAGUAAYCCACCUGGGGAGUACGCUCGCAAGAGUGAAACUCAAAUGAAUUGACGG
rnacentral:rRNA from 1 species